GAUGAAGAAUUUAUUGCUUUCUCAAGGGGGUACCAGUAGGUCACGGAGUGUGACCAAUCAUGCUGCUGCUGUAGAAUCUGCUGAUGAAGGUACCGUCAAAUUUUAGCAGAGGUACCUGUGGGAUUCACUGCUGACCGACCUCAAAUCUUUUUACACAUGUACAGACAAGCAUCAUGAGAUUGAGUUAGCAGCUGAGUCCUACUGUUCAUAUUUAAUCCGUACAUACUUAAUACCUGCUAUUGGAAAUACUAACCGGUGCUUUCGCUUUAUAACAUGACGAAUCACCAUGGAGGAAGUAUACCCUACUUUGUACAGAGACCUUACCCUAUUGCUUUGUUUUUCUUACUUAUGGUUUCAAUCUGCUGCUGGUGUGAUUAUCAGCAGAUUGUUAUGUCGAUUGUUAUAUCUGUCGACAGUUAUAUAGAGAGUGCGUGCUGGUAUAUAUUCUGAGAUGUAAACAAAAACUAAUCGUGCAUAAACUUUAGUGGGCAAUAUACAAAAAUUUCCUUCAGCCUAUGCUGCUCUUAAAGCUAAAUUGCUUGUGCCAGGUCUGUAUGAGCUCUAUUGUUUAAUUCUUUUCUGUGCAUUGUCUUGUAUUAUGGGGUGGUCUAUGGAGCCAUCUUUGCAGGAAUGGGGAUUCAGGGGACCAGGAUACCAGGAUACCUGAUGAUCCCAAUUUAGAAUGUGUGGUUGUGUUUGGUAUCGGCGGUGCCAAUAUUGAAAUUCUUUGCCUGUCAAUUGGGACCGCAAAAGAAGCGAACCUGUCCUGUUUUCUGGCAUAAAACUUCAAAUGGAUGCCAUCUUUAUGGACAAGACAUGAUUGACUUGAACCAAAUUAUAUAUCGAUUGCCUGGUUGGGGAAAUAGCUUUAAAUUUUUGUGUUUUUGGCAUCAGGAGAAAUAGCAUAAUGUGUUGUCUCAUUCUUUCUUGGUUGAGUGAAGGACGAGAACAUAAGAGACAAGUUGACAUACAUUUUUUUCCUGAUCAGUUUUCGUGGCCAGCAUUUUCUUCCCUCGUGCUCCUAGUCCUGGGGAGACUUUUGAAAACAUCUGGUUGGUCUGGGAGACAGGAGAGAGAUUACCAAGUCAAUGGAGGUCUGCUCGGGGCGACAUAUUAAAUCACAUUUGCGCCAAGUCCUUAAAAUUAAUCUGGAUGCUAAGCCACUUCUUGCCGAAAGUGCUUGGAAAAUUAGGAAGAUGGACAAUUAUAGCAAAAGGUCUGAAGGGUGACUAGCAAAGUCUCUCGUCUAUGCGUGUUUAACGUUUAUAGUUGGCAAGCAAUCAUUUUUGGCCACAUAUUUCGUCGCGGAAACAAAAGCGGAGGACAGCUUUUCUUCUCGUGUCGGUUUUGCUUCUUUGUCCAGGCCUCCCGCCAAUUCCGUAGGUUCUCUUCUACUCGUCUUGCUGGUUCAUUAAACAACUGGAUUUCCUCGGAAAUGGUCACAUAACAACUUGCCUAAGGUUAGUGAGAUUCCAACCAAGUUAUAUACACUUGUGUCUUGGUCUCUGUCUCUCUCCCUCUCCACGCGGCCUUCUCCGAUGGCGAUUGUGCAAGUCCCUCACCCGCUUCUCUUCCUGCUUUCCUUGUUCUUAUACACUCAACAAACAACCUCUGGCAUGAUAACCACCGGUUCAUCGCUUUCUCCGAGAACCGAACGCACUUCGUGGCUUUCGCCAUCGGGUCUUUUCGCCUUUGGGUUCUAUCCUCAAGGUGAUAAGUACGGCAUCGGAAUAUGGCUUGUCGAUAAGCCUAACAACACUGUCGUGUGGACUGCAAACCGGGAUGACCCAUUGGUCUCCUCAGACGCGACAAUUAAUUUCACUAAGGACGGUAAACUCGUCGUCCGAACCGGUCUGGGAGAUCAGGAGGCAUCCCUUGUCGGCUCUGAAUUGUGGGAGCCUGCUACCUCGGCUUCCAUGCUUGAUUCCGGUAAUUUUGUGCUCUACGGCAACAAUUCUCGUGUGAUAUGGGAGAGCUUCGAUUUUCCAACCAACACCAUACUGGGCGGUCAGAACCUCUCCGUGGGAAAGGAACUGAUCUCGAGCAAAUCAUCGCUUGACCUCUCAAGCUGUCAGUUUAGAAUGUCCAUGCAAAGUGAUGGGAAUCUUGUCGCUUAUUCUGUCAACUGCUCGAAUAGUGCCCCGGACGCAUACUGGUCGAGUGGUACUCUCAGGCAAUCCAUUCUGCGGCUACAUCUCGAUUCUCAAGGAACUCUUGCUUUGUGGACCUUUAGUGGCAUUAACGAGAAAAUUCUCGCCAAUCAUAGCUCGUUUUCUAGCAAAGAAGGCAGUACCGUUCAUCGCGCAACACUUGAUGACGAUGGGACAUUCAGGCUUUAUUUACACCGGUUCUUAAAAGGCGACUUCUCAAGCUCAGAAGUGUCCAUUCCGUGGUCCGCACCAGAGCACCAAUGUGAUGUUAAAGGCCUCUGUGGAUAUAACAGUUACUGCAGAGUCAGCAGCGAUGGGGCAUGGUGUGAUUGCUUUCCUGGUUUUGCUUUCAUCAAUGAAAGCAAGAGAUUUUUGGGUUGCCGGAGGAACUCCAGCUACGAACAGCACUGUGGUGUGGAAGACGCUAACAUUACUUCGAGUAUCACCCCAUUGCCGAGGAUAGAAUUGGGGGCUCAUCCUUAUUUGAUACUACCACUUCCCAUUCGCAAGUGCAAGAGCUCGUGCCUGGAAGACUGCAAUUGUGAUGUCGCUGUGCAUCGAGACGGAUUGUGCAGCAAGAUGAAGCUACCUAUUGUCUACGGGAAAGCAACUGGGAACGUUUCCUCUACGGUGUUAGUGAAGAUACUCUUGCCUGUCCCCAUUGCUUCUCGAACGCCACUGGUCCCAACAAAGCCAAAAAUUGUGACAGAGAAGAAUACAAUUGUUUUGAUUGUCGGGGUCAGCUUGGGUCCUAUUGCAAUUUUAUGCUCCUUGAUAGCUGCGUUUAGUUUCUUUUUGUAUCGAUACCGAGUUCAUAAGUACAAGAGGCUGUCAACAGAUUCUACUUUGGGUCCAGCACGAGAGUUCACGCUGCAAUCCUUCUCAUAUAAGGAGCUUGAAGAAGCAACAGGUGGGUUCACGGAAGAGAUCCGUAAAGGCUCUCUUGGGGCGGUGUACAAAGGGACAAUGUCCGAUGGCAGCAAGCGUGUAGCGGUAAAGAGAUUAGAGAGAGCCACCGAACGAGGAGAGGAAGAGUUCCAGGCUGAAAUGGCUGCAAUCGGUCAUACUCACCACAAAAAUAUAGUCCAAUUGCUCGGCUUUUGCAUGGAGAGCUCGAAGAAGCUUCUUGUAUUCGAAUAUAUGGAGAACGGAUCACUCUCAGAUCUCCUGUUUGAUGUUGAAAAGCGGCCUCCUUGGAGUGAAAGAGUGAGAAUUGCGUUGGAAGUAGCAAGAGGAAUCCUAUAUUUGCACGAAGAGUGUGAGCUCCAAAUAAUUCACCGCGACAUCACGACGCAAAAUAUCCUCAUGGAUGAAUCUCGGACCGCAAAAAUCUCGGAUUUUGGCCUAGCAAAGCUCUUAAUGCCAAAUCAAACUGGUACCAAAACUGAAGUCAGAGGUACGAGAGGCUAUGUGGCCCCGGAACUGCAGAGGAGCGCCAUGGUAUCCACAAAGGCCGAUAUUUACAGCUAUGGAGUUGUGUUGCUGGAAAUAGUGUGCUGCAGGAGCAACAUGGUGGUCGACGUCUCAUCAGCAGACGAGGUGCUGCUUUGCUCAUGGGUCUACAACUGCUACAUUGCUGGAGAGCUUGCCAAGCUCGUAAAAGAUGAACAAGUAGACAUGAAAAGCGUCGAAAGAAUGGUGCAAAUUGGGCUCCUUUGCAUGCAAGAUGAUCCGGAGAUUCGCCCUUCAAUCAAGGAUGUGAUAUUGAUGCUGGAAGGUAUUAUGGAUGUGCCACGCCCGCCAUGCCCAACCCCAUCGUCCUGUUCAUCUUAACUUGCAUGACUCAUCAUAUGACAACGUCAUUGCACCUCACUCAAAGGACGAUUUUCGACUUUGUUUGGUGCUUCUCAGUAACUUGUUGAGCAUCCACAAAUAUUCACUGUGACAGGUCACAUUCAUGAGACUUAGUAAACCACCUCCAGCUAUGUACUCCUUGCAUCUGUUCUGCUGUCAAGAAUAAACAGGUCAUAUGUCUGCGGCUACAUCUCGUAAAUGUAACUUAGUAGGCAUCUUUGUAGCCGAAGCCUCCAUACCUCUCAUUAGGUAUGAGAGUUUCGUUUCCCUUUUUCAUGAGAAUACUGUUGUUUUCCGACUCAAGGUCGAAUAAAAUAUCUCCAUACGGUUUUUGAGUCCUUAGCAUGCCACAAAGAAACUUCAGCAUUGAGAAAAAUGCCAGUAAAUGAACAGAGAACAGAGCAAUGCCAAGGCUUCGCCAUGUAAUACCAGAAUUCCUUCUGCCAGACUCAAUCUGCAGAGGACAAAGUUAUCAGUUGUAAUCUGAUACUUUUGUUAAGAGAUGUGAAGCUUAGCGAACCUUUAGGACUCAAAUUCGAGCAAAGUUGGUGAUAACUAUUGAGGUUCCCAACAGAUAGAAAUUUAAAUGAAACGAAAAAUAACCAGCCCUUCCAGAUGUUCAAAUGAAGCUUUAUGAUGGGAGAUUUUCCAUUGUGAAGUAUUACAUCCCAGGAUGCACAUUCUCCAUGAGUCGCCGGUGCCUAAUUAAUCUGUUCUUGCUCUUGAAAAUGAUUCACGUUUCGCUACCACGUCAGUGGAAAGGGUUCUCGGUAUGAUACAGCAAAAGAUUUCCCCUAAUAAGCCAUUUUGACUACAAACGUAUCCAUUACGUCUAGUGGGGUUAAAUGGUCCCGGAAACGUACCCCAUCUUUCACUCCAAGCGACUCCAACUUUUCCAGUCAAAAAGGCAUAGACUUGGCAAGUCAAGACGACCUCACAAAGUCAUCCACGCAAGUUGUGAGCAACUUCUCCAAACCCCUCAAGUCUUGGUGAGCAUUCAACAUUCAAAAGCAACUCCUAGUUAGCCAAAGAAACUGAACUCCACCUCUCACAGAUUUCUCUCAUGGCUUCCAAAUAUACUUUAUUUCUCCUACUGUUACUGCACUUUCGAUCUGCAACAUGCGACCAAGAACAGACCAACAUCAUCAAAUUAGGCUUUUCACUCUCCCCCACUAAUCACCCCACCUCAUGGCUUUCGCCUUCCGGCCGCUUUGCUUUCGGUUUCUACCAGAACGGGAAUGGAUUCUCAGUAGGAAUUUGGAUGAUGGGUGAGAUAGAAAACACAACCACAUGGACCGCAAACCGAGAUGAUCCACCAGUGCCAUCCACAGCCAAACUCGAAUUAACAAUGGAUGGUAAGCUCCUCCUGAGGACUGACUCUAAGAACAGUAAGCCAAUUGCUUCUGUACGUGAAUCAGCUUCCUACGCUGCCAUGAAUGAUUCCGGGAACUUUAUACUCUACAAUAAAGAUCACCGUGUCAUUUGGGAUAGUUUUAGUUUCCCUACUGAUACAUUAAUGGGAGGCCAAUCUCUGUCUCGCGGGGCUGCGUUGUUUUCAAGCGUGUCUAAGAGUAAUCGCUCAACAGGACGAUUUCGCCUUGAAAUGCAGUACGAUGGCAAUCUUGUGCUUUACCCCAUUCACACUCCAAACAUAUCAGUGGACGCUUACUGGGCUUCUGAUACUUCCAAUAUGUGGAGUGAGAAGAAUCUGGAUUUGCAUCUAAAUUCGACAGGUGCAUUGCUUCUCAUCAACAUUACAGAUUCAACGGUGGAUGACAAAUUGAAUGAUGGCUCCUUGGCAUUCAACAAUUCAAUUAUGUACCGUGCAGUGUUGGACUGGAAUGGAAUGCUUCAACUAUACUCUCAUAGUUUCAACGGCUUUUAUGAGAACAAAACCACGCCCUUGUGGUCAAAACCGGAUGAUAAAUGCAGCGUGAAGAGCUUUUGUGGGUUCAACAGCUAUUGUACUUUGGAUGAUGAUCAACCCGUUUGUCGUUGCCUACCAGGCACUGAUUUCAUCGAUACGGACCAGACAUCUCGUGGGUGCGAGAGGAAUUUCACUGAAGAGUGGUGUAGAGAUUCUGGAAGAAGCGCGUCCUCUCGCAACAUCGUGCGUAUGGAGAACAUGGCUUGGGAUGACCCUCCAUAUUUCCAGGUAAAAAUGCAAGAGGAUGACUGCAGCAAGUCCUGCUUGGAGGAUUGCGACUGCCACGUAGCACUCCUGGAUUCAGAUACAUACUGUAAGAAGCAAAAGCUUCCUCUGAAGUAUGCGAGGAGAGAUCGACAAACAUCAUCAACGGCAUUCUUCAAGGUGGGGUUUGAGGGUGUAAAGAAAAAACAAACAGGAGUUAACACUUCAGAGGAGCCGCCCACGGUCAUAAUAAGGACUAGGGAUGCAACGGUUCUCCUCCUCGUAGUGACCCUAGGCCUCGUGACGUGGUCAUUCAUUGCCCUCGCAAUUUCUGGUCUUUUUGCGUUCAAGUUGCGGUUUCUCGAGUACAGAAAGUUACUAGAUAGGGGAGAUAUCGGUUUGUCAGAGGAGCUCGCCCUGAGGUCAUUUUCCUACAAAGAGCUCAAGAGGGCGACUAAUGGUUUCAAGGAAGAGUUGGGAAAGGGAUCGUUCGGAGCAGUCUACAAGGGAAGUUUGUCGAGAGGCAAAAGAAUCAUCGCUGUCAAGAGACUGGAGAAGGUGAUCAAUGAAGGCGAGAGGGAGUUCUGUGCUGAAAUGCGGGUGAUUGGAAGGACUCAUCACAAGAAUUUAGUCCGGUUGCUUGGUUACUGUGCUGAAGGAACCAAGAGGCUUCUCGUCUACGAGUUUAUGAGCAACGGCUCCCUCGCAGACCUUCUGUUCCGAUCCCAAAGGCGUCCAGAUUGGAAUGAGAGAGUGAGAAUUGCCUUGGAGAUCGCGAAGGGAAUUCUUUACUUACAUGAGGAGUGUGACGCCCCGAUCAUCCACUGUGACAUUAAGCCCCAAAACAUCCUGAUGGACGACUUUUGGACAGCAAAAAUCUCCGAUUUCGGGCUAGCAAAGCUUCUGAUGCCCGACCAAACCCGGACUUUCACGGGUGUCCGAGGGACAAGAGGAUACAUGGCUCCCGAAUGGCAAAAGAACACUCCAAUUUCAUUGAAGACGGAUGUCUACAGUUACGGGAUCAUGCUCCUGGAGAUCGUGUGCUGUCGGCGGAGCAUGGAGGUCAACGUUCAGAGGCCCGAGGAGAUUGUUCUUUCUUCUUGGAUCUACAAGCAUUUCGAAGCGAGAGAGCUUGAGAAGCUGGUUUGGGGCGAAGAAAUAGAGAAGAAGUCCCUGGAGAACCUGAUCAAGGUCGGGUUGUGGUGCAUUCAGGAUGAGCCGGCGCUUCGUCCUUCGAUGAAAUGUGUGGUGAUGAUGUUGGAAGGGAUAACUGAUAUAGCGGUUCCUCCAUGUCCCACUGCUGCUUCCUCGUAACUGAGCACCCCAAGUAGAACCUUUCUCUACUCAAGAGUCUCAUCUAACAACACUCCAGGAGAUCAUAGUUUCAUUCUCGGUACUUGAGACAUGCCGUACCUUUUAAAGUUGAUAUUUUCUGGAUUAAAUAAGGAUUAUGUGUGUUCUAUGCUACAUUAUCAGCUCAGGAAGAAGAGGACAUCUGCAAGACUGCAACAAUGGGUAUUAUGUAGGUUCUCUCUCAUUCUAGACCAAUGAUCAGAAUCAUCCAAUUGAUUCUCUGUUAUCUAUGCCUUUCUAUCCUUUUUUACCCUUCAGCUGGUUUGCUCCUGAUGGUGUAAGAGUCAGACUUUUGUGAAUGAACAAAGCUAUAGCUUUUAUAGACGCAAUGUUAUCACAUUUAUAUUAACGUCUAUCCUACAAAAAAAAAAAAAAAAAUUAUAGUAGUUUGCGCAAUAGGCUCAUAUAAUUAUCCACUUGACACCGUAUUUUAGUUUGACUUCCAUUUUGUUUAGGCCAAACGUCGCAAUAAAUAAGGAAGAAGAAAUCACCUACAAAUGGAGUUUCUGAAAUUCCGUUUAGAAAAAAGGGAACACUGUUUACAUAGUAAAUAUUUGCACUACUAGUAAAAUCCAAAUUAAGUUUGUAAAUUCGUACAACUGGUAACUUGCUGAUGAAAUACUUAGUUGUCAUUUACACACGUUGUUAAUGACUAAGACCAUCAAUAUAAUAAUAAUUUUUAAGUUCAUUUUAUAAAUUCAUCUCUUGAAAUUAAAUCUUAGCGGUGCAGAUAACGAGUUACUGGUGAAAUUAACAACAUACCAACAUAGGUCCGCUUUGAAUGUAAGUUACCAUCUAACUGACGUCGUUCAAGAAAUUGGAAUUUAUUGAACUUCUAUGAGAACUUACCGCUCCAUAUUAAGUCUUAGCAAUGUAAGUAGUAAGUCACCAUGACAUUGAUUGUAAGAAUUGGGCCUAUAAAAUUAAAAAAGAAAAAAAAAACAAUGGGCCAAGUCCAAGUCACUUUACCCAUUCUACGUGCUUUCUUGUCCUUCAGCUUCCGCACAAGUAAAUAAACGAGCAAAGCAAGUAAUAAGAAGGGUAAACCACACAAAUGACUCUAAACUUUAAUUUAAUGUGUAAUAUUAUCCAUGAACUUUUAAUUUGUUCAAUGUGGUUUUUAGACUUUUGUUACACGCUUAAAUAUAGUCCAUGAAUUAUAUGAAAAUAUUCAAAAUCGUCAUUUUUAUUAAUUCAAAUUUAGGAACAAUAUUGAACAUUUUCAUACAGUUUAGAAAUUAAAUUAAACAAGUACCAAAAGUCUUGAGAUCACAUUAAAUAAAUUAAAAAAAUUCAGAAAUAACAUUAUAAAUUAGAUCGAACUUCAAGCAUCAAAUUAGCUAACCCAUUAGCUGACACGAUCAUGGGGGCAGCCCAUUAGCUGACCCGCUUAAGAGAUUCCCAGUGCUUCCUGCAUCUCGUGGCUCCCCCUCGUCAUUGCUAUUCUAAGGGGACACAAUUGGAGUUUUGAACAAUACUGCGCCUCUCCGCCUCCCGUGACUUUCUCGCCUUCACCAACCCAUUCCGAACCUUAUGCUUCAACUUCUCACCCCAGUUCUUAUCGAUUUCCCCCUCCAGGUUUGCCAGCUCACCCGCCUGAAGUAUCUCAUGCACAUAAGUAUGAUGCGAGCUUUGAUGAAAACUAUCCGUCCCCAACCUUUUCUCCUUCUCCCUCACCCUCCCCGCCCAUUAUGUACCUGGGAGUCAUCUUUCGGGGGCUCUUUUACUAUCUGAGAGUGCUCCGGUUAACAUACAUGCAACAAAGUUUCUUAAUUCCCCUACGUUGUUCAAGAACCAAAAUCUCCCUCCUUCACCUCCUCUCAAAGGUACUAGAUAUGGCCCUUCAAUGGCUGAUAAAAGUAUGUGUCCCGGCCGUGAUGGUGCAACGGUUGACAAGGUAUAUUGUUAAAUACCUCUGCAGAGUCAUCUGGUGAGCUUUUCUUUUCCGGCAGCUCUAUUGAAAAUUCCCCCUUUUCUUUAGUAGAUGUCUUUUGUCCGAAGGGAUGACAUAGGAAGACCUCCUGGGUUAAAAAAAUCAUCUGAAAGUUCAGCAAAUAUCUCCUAUUCCAGAAGCUCCGGCUUGGUCUUUCAAUGAUGAUUUUGAUGAGCCCGAGUACACUUGUGCAUUCGAUGUGGCUGAAGAUGUUGUGACUGAUCCAGGUAGCAGGUAAAUGUGUUCUCUACCCCCUCAAGUUUUCAAACAAUUUGCUUGCAUUACUUCAGCAUAUAGGCGAUCUGCUUUAAAUGCCCACAGCGAACUACUGUUGCCUAUAUCUGUGUGUAUUCUCAUAAUGCAUGUUUUCUGAAAUUUAAAGGUAUGAUUGGAAAAAUGUUAGGAGAUUGUGAGUUGGAGCUGCCAUUGUGACAACCCAGACCUGGGACAAUACGGAGGGAUGCACUAAGAUUACCUCAGCAGUACGCCGACGAGGCUAAGUGCAUUUCUCCUAUCCCACAUCGCUUAGAGGGGGAGUCCUAGGAGCCUUUAUAAGGUUUGGGUCCCUUAAUAUGUGUGAUGCGUUUUAAAACCGGGAAAAUACCGUAACUAGGAUGACGGUUCAUCCGAGCCAGGGCGGGUGACCCAAAGCGGACAAUAUCACAUGGUGGGGCUUCGGUCCUUACAUUCUUCUUUUACUCCAUUGUGAGCUUAAGGUCAUAGGUUUGAGUUGCGGAAACAAUCUUUCUGGAAAAUCAAGGGCAAGGCUGUGUUCAUAAACCCCUCCUUAGAGAACGCUGUGCAGACGGCCUUGUGCGAUGAGAUGCCCUCUCUAGUCUUGAUUCUUUUGUUGAUCUAUAUAUUAGUUUCUUGCAAUGUGGUGAAUAGGCUAUGCAUUUACUAACGUCUAAUUAUUCUUAUUCUUAUUGAAGUUACUUUGUCACGCUCAUUUGUCUCUUCAUCUUGACUAUUCAAUAAACACAUUAUUUAAUCGGUAACUUCUACACUAUUUUUCUUUCUUUAAGGGCUAUAAUUUCCUCCAUCCUUGAGUGGAGGAAAUUCCUUCCAACUGUUUCUGAAAGCUUUCUUUAUCGAUUUUCUCUUAGGUUAGCAAACUUUCUCUCUCUGUUAUGAUUUUACUUUUGUAGUUUGAUAAGCUGUUGUUAGAUUGGAUGAAUAUUCUGCUGAAGCAGCUUUCUGCAAACUGCUUCUAAGCUUGACCGAUUUACCAAGAUCAUAAGUCACUCAUGUCUGCAUUGUUUCUGCCAGAAACUUUGCUGAUGAAGUGCAACAGUAUAUCCAAGUUCACUCAUGCUGCUUUCGCUUUUACUUUCUAUUGUUCUAAUGUAUUGUUAUAAAUGUCCUUUCUCCUCUGAAUCGAUCUUGUAACUCCAUACUUCUUGUGUUAAGAGUUAUCUGAUUAGUGCAUUGUUUGCAGAGCGGAUUUAUUCGAUAAAAGAAGACAUGCGCACGAUCCACUCCAGUCUGGUUCAUUUAUGCCAAUCAGAAAAUCUCAGGGUGCUGCUGUUGGAGCUCUUGUGGAUAUGUUGAAGAAAGCUCCUCCUCUUCACCAAGACGUCUCAAAUUUGGCAACAGCUUCACAAGCCUCUGGAUCUGAGACCUGGAGCAACACCGUUCAUGAGUAUUGCCAGACCCCUAAAUCCAUAUCAGCUCAGGAUGGCAAUUCAAGCGUUGCAUCCUCUGCUUUUCUUGCGUCCAAGACGACAGCUGAUGCCUUGGAAGAACUUAAGGGUUAUAAGGAGAUGAAGAAUUUAUUGCUUUCUCAAGGGAGUAGGGGUAGGUCACAGAGUGUGACCAAUCAUGCUGCUGCUGUAGAAUCUGCUGGUGAAGGUACCGUCAAAUUUUAGCAGAGGUACCUGUGGAAUUCACUGCUGACCGACCUCAAAUCUUUUUACACAUGUACAGACAAGCAUCAUGAGAUUGAGUUAGCAGCUGAGUCCUACUGUUCAUAUUUAAUCCGUACAUACUUAAUACCUGCUAUUGGAAAUACUAACCGGUGCUUUCGCUUUAUAACAUGAC
rnacentral:lncRNA from 1 species